GGGAGGCAGCAGUGGGGAAUCUUAGACAAUGGGCGCAAGCCUGAUCUAGCCAUGCCGCGUGUGUGAUGAAGGCCUUAGGGUCGUAAAGCACUUUCGCCAGGGAUGAUAAUGACAGUACCUGGUAAAGAAACCCCGGCUAACUCCGUGCCAGCAGCCGCGGUAAUACGGAGGGGGUUAGCGUUGUUCGGAAUUACUGGGCGUAAAGCGUACGUAGGCGGAUCAAAAAGUAGGGGGUGAAAUCCCGAGGCUCAACCUCGGAACUGCCUCCUAAACUCCUGGUCUUGAGUUCGAGAGAGGUGAGUGGAAUUCCAAGUGUAGAGGUGAAAUUCGUAGAUAUUUGGAGGAACACCAGUGGCGAAGGCGGCUCACUGGCUCGAUACUGACGCUGAGGUACGAAAGUGUGGGGAGCAAACAGGAUUAGAUACCCUGGUAGUCCACACCGUAAACGAUGAAUGCCAGUCGUCGGGCAGUAUACUGUUCGGUGACACACCUAACGGAUUAAGCAUUCCGCCUGGGGAGUACGGUCGCAAGAUUAAAACUCAAA
rnacentral:rRNA from 1 species